rnacentral:rRNA from 1 species
GUGGAUUAGAUACCCUGGUAGUCCACGCCCUAAACGAUGUCAACUAGUUGUCGGGUCUUAAUUGACUUGGUAACGCAGCUAACGCGUGAAGUUGACCGCCUGGGGAGUACGGUCGCAAGAUUAAAACUCAAAGGAAUUGACGGGGACCCGCACAAGCGGUGGAUGAUGUGGAUUAAUUCGAUGCAACGCGAAAAACCUUACCUACCCUUGACAUGUACGGAACCUUUAAGAGAUUAGAGGGUGCUCGAAAGAGAGCCGUAACACAGGUGCUGCACGGUUGUCGCCAGCU